rnacentral:sRNA from 1 species
UGGUCUUAGUUGUGUUGGUGGUGUAUGAUGAGAUCAUACACCACCAACACAGCUAAGACCAA